rnacentral:lncRNA from 1 species
UAAUGGUUACAGAUGAGAAUGGAAAACACAUAUUUUAUGGAUGAGGCGUUUUGGUCUCCCCUGCAGUCGAUUUCUAGAAUCAAGUUUUAGAGUUCGGCUGAUGCAUCUGCCUGGGGACCUCAGAUGGGAGGAGUGUGUCAGUUGUACCCCGACAGAAAUGUCUCUGGGAUCUGUGGCUGGCUUGCCCCGGGCAUCUCUCCUUUAAGCUCAAGUUUUGAACUCUCUGCGGUUUUCCACCCCUGCCUUCUCAGCCACAUGCUUUUGGCCUUAAACGCUCAGUCUUGUGGAGUUCAACUCUGUCAAACGAUUGGAAAGGGCAUCCAUUUCCAGAUCUUUGGCAUUUUCCCCGCGCUGACUCUUUGAUGAUCCUUCACUGUGGCCUUUUCAAGCUCAGCUGUUCCUGUUGUAUUUGAGACGAGGGUGAGGGAAUGUGGUGGCCACAAAAGAACAGGGACUUGCAGCACAAAUGUCACUUCUGUCUCCCUUUUCAGUGGUAGCACGGAGGAGGAGGUGCUGCGUUGGAGGGAGGGGAUCCUCCAGGAGCUCUCUGGAGCCCAUCUAGGAAGCUAGAGUGUGUGGCCCGCCAGGAGCUCAGGAAGGAUACAGCCACUGUCGCAGGGGAAAGUGUUUGCUUCCCGUGGAGCCAAGCGCCCAAGACUCUCCGUAUCCUUCACCCUGACAGUUUAACUUCAGCGUUUCUCUGUGCAGUUGCGGUCACCAUGGGUGAGCACUGUCUGUGCACGUGCCAGGGAGGAGAUGGCUGGGACCACUGCACAGGAGGGCGCAGCCUGGCGUCGCCAUGAAAGUUGUCUCUGUGCCAUCUCUCCGGUCCUUGAGGAGAGCCCAGAAAGAUUUUAGGACCCAGGAGGUGCUUUUCCUCCAGCUGUUGCCAGUGUCCUUCUGAGCCUGGAUUCUCCGGGGAUUUCCGUCGUGGUGGAUGGACUUCACAUCAGCAGCAGUUCUGGUACAGAAUUGUAAUGUGUUUUCAUUUCUCUGUAGGAUUCACCUCUCACCAGCGUCUGUCUUAAAGGUAGGGCCAAUUUCAUGGAGCAUUUUUCUGUGUGUGUCCUUGUUGCUUUUGCCAGAAAAAGUGGAUUUGACAUGCGUGCCCCGAUGCCACCAUAGCCCCUAGGCCAACAAUGUCAUGGUCUAAACACCAAAAAGUGAUGCCCCGCAUUCCUUCCCUGGAUGGUACCGUUUCUUCUCCGUCUCUCUUUGAUGAUUCUUUGGGACCAAAGUCCUCUCCUUAGUGCGCCUACUUCCUGUGGGCAUCAUGCCACUUGGAACUUAUUGGAACUGGCCCGGGAGACUCUGCAGUCUGCGCCGUUUGAAAACCCUGAGAAAGAGAUGCCACCUCAACUUGAAUCAUGACAGCCCAUCGCUCAGUCUCACCCUAAACUCAUGGAGCUUGUUUCAGCUCCUCACUUCUUGACUGUAUUUGUACUAUGUUGAAAAAAUAUCCUGUCCACAAAGACAUAAGCCUAACAACCUAGAAAAACAACAGGGUACUACUGGCAUUACAGAACUUCUUUGCCUUUCAAAACAAAAGCAAAACACAGUGAACUUCACCACGGAGCUGCACAGCGUGGGGAACUCAUCCAUCACUUUCAAAAUUAGAGUCAUUUGAUCCAAGUUGGAGUCAGACACAGUAUUUGAGCUGCACGGCUUCUGGGUUCUCCCACCUUAUUUGAUCAUAUUCGAAAGAUUAUUUCCUGUGUUUGCUUUGAUUUGUUCCUCAGUACAUUAAAAUGAUCCACACCUUGAACACUGCCCUCUCUAGAAGGUUGAUUUUGAUCAGCCUUUUGAAGAUGGGUGUCGUUUCCCUAACUUAUCUCACAGAAUUUUGAGUGUUGUAUUUGGCAAGUUCUGAGAUUUGCCUUCUGUCUUAUGCCAAACACCCCUUUCUAAGAGCUGUCCCCGCUUAGUUUUAGAAGUACUAGGGGUUUUCAUACUUAUUUUAUAGAACACCCAUUUAUAUUUAUUUCUGUAUAUAGAACUAAAAAAAACAGUAGUGUUAAAAAUCUUUGUUGUGGUUUGAGCAUCUUUGCUGCUUUUGGAUUGAGAUGGCGAAUCAAGGCUUCACUUCCUCUCUCUUCUGUCUUUAGAAAGCUGUGAUCGUGCGUGCAAUUAUUUGAAAGGCAACAUAGUCAAUUAAGAAACCUGUAGUUGUUAAGGAAGAAAUUGUUGGCAAGAUAUCCAUACUGCCCAUAUCUCGUUGGUGCAAUAAUUAAAUAGCAAAGGAAAUCUGUAUUGGCAACUAUUAUAAUUCAAUAAUUCUUUUGUUUACUGCCCUUUUCUGUUCAAGAAUUUUCUGGAAAUUACUCCCUUUCACAUGGUUGAACUCUUAAGUUGACCAGUUCUCAUAGCUCUAUCACUAGAAUGGUUUGCAGAUACCCCAAACAUACUAUGAUAAAAUCAAAUUGUGCUACUUUUGACCCAUGUAAUUUACCUAAAAGUUGUAAUUGCUGACAGAGUACUGCCUUGAAUUUUGGUUUAAAACCUCUCUAGUUUCAAUGACAAGUAACAACUCAAAUAAUUCCAUAUUGUUUGAGGAAGAGGCCAUAAUCCUUCUGAAUUGUUGGCACUAAGUAAUGGGAUUUGGCCCAGUAAGUAUGACGGUCGUGUCGCCUAACCAACGCAGAGCAGUGCUUUUUGUGUGGCUGAAGCGAUGUGCUGACGAAAAAAGGAAAAUUCUAGGACAAUCGUUGGCUAAAAAUCACCUUAGGAUGAAAAAUUUGAGGCAAAUUUUUUUAAAUGACAGAAAAAGAUAAUCAUCUCACUUGCUUGAAACAGGAGCCAGCAUGAUCUCUGGAAGCAUCAACUAUCCCUCGUCGUGAUUGUUGAAAGCUCUUUCACUGUUUUGCAUUCUAGUUUGAAUAGUUUGUAUUGAAAUUGGAUUCCUAUCUUGUGUAUGUUUUUGGUGCGUAAAAGGGAAAAAUUGGUGUCAUUACUUUUGAAAUUUGCAGGACGAAGGGCAUGCUUUUGGUUUGCUGUAAGAUUGUAUUCUGUAUAUAUGUUUUCAUGUAAAUAAAUGAAAAUCUAUAUCAGAGUUAUAUUUUAAUUUUUAUUCUAAAUGAAAAAAACCCUUUUUACUUCAAAAAAAUUGUAAGCCACAUUGUUAAUAAAGUAAAAAUAAAUUCUAUGGUGGUGUUUGGG